GUCUAUAGCCAUACCACCCUGAACGUGCCCAAUUUUGUCUGACCUCAGAAGCUAAGCAGGGUCAGGCCUGGUUAGUAGUUGGAUGGGAGAUUUUUAUUUUUUAAGGAUGGUGGACU
rnacentral:rRNA from 1 species